AACGCGAAGAACCUUACCAGGUCUUGACAUACUCGUGCUAUCCUUAGAGAUAAGGAGUUCCUUCGGGACACGGGAUACAGGUGGUGCAUGGUUGUCGUCAGCUCGUGUCGUGAGAUGUUGGGUUAAGUCCCGCAACGAGCGCAACCCUUAUUACUAGUUGCCAUCAUUAAGUUGGGCACUCUAGUGAGACUGCCGGUGAUAAACCGGAGGAAGGUGGGGAUGACGUCAAAUCAUCAUGCCCCUUAUGACCUGGGCUACACACGUGCUACAAUGGAUGGUACAACGAGUCGCCAACCCGCGAGGGUGCGCUAAUCUCUUAAAACCAUUCUCAGUUCGGAUUGCAGGCUGCAACUCGCCUGCAUGAAGUCGGAAUCGCUAGUAAUCGCGGAUCAGCACGCCGCGGUGAAUACGUUCCCGGGUCUUGUACACACCG
rnacentral:rRNA from 1 species